GUCCUAACCUAUGAAGCAGUUGUGUGCGUCACAGAAAUAGGUGACUUUAAAAGAGUGAAGAAACUCUUAUCUUUCAAUGUCGGUUAUUUGGAUGAGAAGGAUGUAUUUUGGAUUGUAAUUGUUGAUACUAAAGCGUCUUGUGUGCAAGACGUGGCAAAGUUUGCUGUGGCAAAGCAUAAUGAAGACGAACAUGAUAGUCUUGUCUACCUUUCUAUCACUAAAGGUUGGUAUCGAGAACUUGACCCGUAUAAUGCUAUAUUCUUCGAAAUUCAUCUUACGACGAAGGAUUGUUUUGGACGAGUGCGUGAGUUUAAGGCUUUGGUUCUAGAAGACAAACCUCAAAAGGAGAAAAUCCGAACACUCAAAUAUUUCGAAGUUAUAAAGAAAUGUUGAAAACUUGCUAUCUAUAUGUAAGUGAGAGUGGUUAUGUUAUGUGUUAUGUCUAUGUUCUUGACUAUAUAUCCAUAAAUGAAUAGUCAAGUUUAAACUAAAUAAAACGUUUUAAAUUAUAUGUCACUCUUUAUGCCAAAUUUUAUUAAGGAAGUUGUUUAUAUUAUAACCUAUUAGUUAUUGGGAAUUUAUACGAGAUAUAAAUAAAGUCACUUCAUUAAAAUGAAAAUGUAAUAGAUCGAUGGUAAUAAGAAAUGUGUGGGGUGCCAUUUGAUUGCUUUUAGCAUUGUUUACUUAUGUUCUAUGAUCGUAUUGACACAUGAGGUCACUUCCAACUUAUAAUCAACAAAUGCAAAUUGAUUCACAAAUUAAAGGCAUUCAGUUCAAUUGCACCUAGUAAUUAAGUUGUAUAUUUGUUACUGUGUUUCGGUUACAACUACCAUUAUUGUUAUUGUUUCAGCUGAAAAAUUAUCAAUUUGACAUUUUAAUAUUGUCGUUAUUGUAAUCGCUUUGGAAACCUUAUCCUUUGAAUUCCUAAGUCGUAUAAGAAGUUAAGUAGAGGUUGUUGUUGAUGUGUUGUGUUGUUAACGUAGCUUAAUUGAAGGAUUAAAGGCUUGUUUGAAAUUCAACUAAGUGUUUGGGAGCUAGGGUAACCAACUUAGGUGUUAUGAGAACCUUCAAGAGUAUGAUGACCAAUAGUAGUUUAAGUGGCCAAGUAGAAGAGCCCUGGUGUGAAACUCCGAUCUGCAAAACAACAAGAAUGCAGGAAGUAGUGUAGAUAGGACACAAUUUAGCUUAAAACCUUGCAAUUGAUCUUAUCACCUAACUCAAACUCAACCCCUUUUAAACUACCAAGUGAAAAACAUAACGUAAUGGAAGUCAACAUAAACGUCAAGUACAAUAAUUAACAUAACCAAAACUUACGCUUAUUUAGAAUGAUUUUGACCACAUGGUUAUAUUGGUACAAUAUGUAGUUUAUUGAAAAUGGACUUGAAGGAGAUGCUGAUUCUGGCGGUGAAGAAGAUGAACCGGAGGACACUGAUGGUGUGAAAGUGGAACAUCUCUACACAUUUCAGAUUAUCAAGGUUUUGCACUAAUAACCGAUUGAUUUACUAUAGUGAUGAAGCUACCAAGCAAGUGAUUGAUGUUUGAUUCGUGACAAGACUUGUUGCAAUUUAGUUAUCUAUGACAAUACAUUGCAUUUAGUUUCUUUGUAAAAAUAUAUUACCAAUGUUUAGUUUCUAUUUCACUUGUAUUUAUCCCUUUGGGAAAAUUCGAUAGAUUUAGUGUACUUAGUUUUUUUGUAAAUAUGUUAUCUAUGUUAUUUUUAUAUAUGAAAGUUCUUAUUUAUAUGUGUACUAGUUUUGUGUUAAAAUGGAAUCAUUGGAUAACAGGAAAAAAAUCUAAUUGAAUUACAAUUUUUUUUAUAAAAAAAAUUCAUAACAUAUUUGACGGUUAUAAAAUGUCAUAAACAAGUCCAUCCUUGACGGUUUUUCAAUGUCAUAAACAAUCAAUUUCUUGACGGUUAUUAAAUGUCAUGAAUACUUAUACUCUUGACGAUUUUAAGUUGUCAUAAACAUUCACACUCUUGACGGUUUUUACCUGUCAUGAACAUUUGUAUACUUGACAUUUAUAAAACGUCAACGUUCAAUAUUCUUGACGUUUUUAUCAACCGAUAAGAACUUUGGCUUUCUUGACACUGGCUUCAAGGACGGUUAUAUUAAUUUGAUUCAUGAUAAAAUUAUUGGUUAUGAGAGAAAUUUGUAUUUGAAUAUGAUUCAAAUUUAACUUAUCUUAAAUAUAAGAUAUUUAAUUUAGUUGUUAAUUAAUUAGAGAAUUAGUUAAUAGUUUAUUUUAAUAUUAUUUAAUUAAAUUAAUAUAAAACUAUAAGAUAUUAUUGAAAGAUAUUCAUUAAAUAAGAUUUAAAUAAAAUAUUAAUUAAAUAUGAUUUAAUUAAUUAUUAACUAAUUGAUUACUUGUUAAUUAAUUAGUUGAUUUGAAAUUUAUGCUAAUUUAAUAUUUUUUAAAUUAAUAGAAUCUCAUGAUUCUCUUCGACUCUCUUUCCUUAGAUACAAUUUUCUUUAACAAUUCAAUCAACCAAAAUAAAACUAAUAAUUUUGUUUUUCCACAAAAGAGUUUCUCUAAAAAAAUCUCCAAACUUUUUUCCAUCCGAAUUGGUUCCCCACAAACCAAUCUCAUCUCAAAAAAUACGGAGGUGUCCGAAACCAAUCUCAUCUCAAAAAAUAGGGAGGUGUCCGAUGGGUGAUGUCCCAAUUUUGUGAUUUAUUUUGUAGAUUCAGAGAUGUUAACACAAGUAAGUUUUUCUUUCUCUAAUCUAUAAUUAGAAAACAUGCUUAGCCGUUAAGUCUUAAUAAGAAAAUUUGUUUUUAUUGUAUUUUGUCAUUCUACUAGUAUUUUGGGAUUUCCAAAUUAAAUUGAGAAAUGAUUCUAAAAUCUUUCACUGCCAAUGACUUUUAUCCCUUCAACGAUGGCCUGAGAAACAAUCUCUAAAUUUUCUGUCUUUCAUCCUACCCAGCAAGCAUCAAGAUGCUCAUGCCUUUGUUCUGGGCCUAAUCUUUGUUUUCCAUCUCCCCGAAGAUUACUCAACUUAGUAAGAAAAUAGGAUAGAAGAUACAGCUAUUACAUUCUUCCGCUCUUUGCUUACUUUGCUUGCUUAGCUUUUCUUAGAUCACAAAUGAGGAUCAUGCCUCUUAUUUAUAGGCAUAAAAUCCUUGGAGCCUAAUGUGUCACACUUCAUCCCGAACAUAUCCUAACAAAGCGAUACACAGUGUGACUUGAGUAUUCAUGACUUGUUUAAACAAAAGAAACCUCAACCUAGGUUCUUAAGCUUAGCUCAAAUGCCUGAUCACUGAGCACUUACACUUAUUUUCACAUUUGUAAGUGAUAUUAUAACAUUAUAACACAACGAAUAAGAGAUAAAAAAACAACUCCAUUUCAUUAACUUUCAAUUAUGUGAUCUACAUUACACUUUACAUACAUUGAAGCACAUGUAUAAAACUUAAUUUAAAUGCUCUAGGAUAGCCUUCUGGCCUAGUUAGCCUCUUAAGCCCUUCUUACUCUAAGAUGAACGCCUAAUCACCUGGGAAGUGGAAAAUCUUAAAACAUAAGUCAAAAGACUUAGUGAAUGAAGUUUUAAAAAAACCUUUUCGAAACAUGUUACAUAAAUCAUAACUAUUUCAAUCGUAUAAUACAUAAUACACAUUAGUCUUGUGUCUCUUUCGUCGGAAACAUGAACCAUUCCCUAAGUUAAGACCCAGCAUCUUAAUUCAUUCAUCAUUGCUCAGGUCGCCUAACACAAUACACAUCUUUUAUACAUUGGCUAGCUUCACUCUAUCCGUAGUCCCUUUUUACAUCACUGCAUUACUUCUUAUGUGCACAUAGUUAGCUCUUUGAUAGGAUUAAAACUAAUGCUUUGAAAAUAUUCUUUCACAUUCGUUGAAACACAAAACAUUGCUUUUAAAACAUAAGCUUUCAUUUAAAUUUAUUUAUAAGUACUCAUUACAAACAUGAAUUCAAAAGAAAGCUUUAAGUUUACAAACAUUUACAAAUAUCACUCACUCACAAAAUUCAGUUGCCUUAAAUCCAGAUUGCUUCUACACUUCUUCUUCUUGCGUAGUCCUUCAACAACAACUUCAACACUUAGUUUUUCUUUUUCAAACUUUUAGAAUAACUUCCUUCUUCUAAUUCCUUCCUCUAUUUAUAAUAAUCCUAAUUUCGAUUAGUCAUCCUUAAGGUUCCUAAAAUAUGGCCAGCUUCUACUUGCUUAAAGUAUUAUACGUGUAAGCUUAGUAUUUCACUCAAUCUUACUUAACUUCAGCUUAACACGUAACCCUUGUCAAAUCAAAUUGAUAUUUUCUCGCUUGCCUUUUCUCGCAAAGAACUCUACUCGCCUAACUGCCUUUUAAUCGCCAAAGUCCUUAUCAUGUUGCCUUCAUUACGGAAUAAGACUUAAACACCUAAACGUCAGUUUUCAAAAUAUAAACUUCUUCAAAAUGCCUUCUCUCAAUAUUUAGUAAAAAAUUUGACACUUCAAAUAUAAACUUGGGUCUCACACAAUGUAAAGCCAUGAUCCAAAGAAAAGGGGUUGUGUUAAAGAGGAGUUAUGUUAAAAAGAGACAUUUUGGCUAAGCGUAAAUAAUAAGCAAUCUGUGAUCAAGGAUGCCUUCAAGGAAAGGUGAUGCAAGGAGAGAUGCUUACAGUCACUGUUGCGUCGAAGCGAGGUGACGCGAUAUGAUUAGCUGGCGAGGAAGAAGCAUGCAUUUAAUGCAAAGAACUAGACAACAACACGGGAAUAAGUACCUAUGCCUAAAGUGUUGAUGCAAUGAAUUAAGUGUUUCAUUGAAAGGAUGGAUGUUCGUAUGAGGCGACUAGACGACUAUCUGAGGGAAAGUAAAUGUUCUAUUAUUUUUCAAGAAGGGAGUCAGAUGAAAAAGAAUUGAGCAUUCCAAAAAGAUAAGGUUAGCGUUUCAAGAGAAAUAUCUAAUUGCGAGUAACAAUUGGCAACGUGUUGAAAUUAUGUUGGUUGUAUAGCUUGAUGAGUUAUAGCUUGACACAUGUAAAGCGUGGAAAUGACCCAUGAGUUUGAAAGGUCGCUAUAAAUAGGACCAAAGAGGUCGGAAGAAAGAGGGGCAUAAGAUGCUAAACAUUAUGAUUAAUUGUUAAGAGAAAGUGUCGAGUGUUGAAAGGUCGAUUAAGGGAAUCACUAGGCAAGACGAGAAAGCCAAAAGUAAGAAAAGGAAAGAGUUUAGGCUAAGUAUUUCUGUGAGUGAUCCUUUUAAAUGAAAGAAAUAUUUUGUGAAUGAUUGCUCUUUUUAAUCUUAUGUUUGACGAUUAACAUUUGAUAAUGAUACUAAUGUGAUGUGAUGUGUUGUAUGUAAUGCUUUUGAGAUAAUGCUUCUUAUCUUAUUGGCUGUAAUGAUUGAAUGAUGUAUUGGUGGAAGUGAAUCCCAGGUCUAGGGCAAAUAAAUGUUGAUGAAAGUGAAUCCCAAGUCUGAGCGAGAAAUGAAUUUUGUUCUUCAUAGUUGGGUGCUGGUGAAAGUGAAUCGUAGAUCUAGGUGAGGUUGUAUCAUGAGACACUGGUGGAAGUGAAUUCCAGGUCUAGGGGAUGGUCUCAGGUUUGAGUGUAGAACGAUCAUUGUGAGACACUGGUAGAAAUUUCAAGUUUAUCACGAGACACUAGUGAAGUGAAUCCCAGGUUCAGGGGAUUGGAUGUGGAUUGAAGAAUCUCAGGUCCCGAUGAUAAAUGAUGAACAUGCUGAUGAAUGAAAUGUAUGGAAUUGCGUUCUUAAGAAUAAGAUUGUUAUUAUUGAAAAUGUUGUUUUCCCUAAAAAUGUAUUUUCUCUAAACUCAUCACUCACUAACUUUGUUACUUAUAUUUUAAGUUUUUCUUCCCCAGGUUGUCAGGCGUUGAAGCUAAGUAAAGAAUGGAUGUCAGGUGUAGAAGCCAAGUAAAGGAGGAAAGGUGGGAUGUUAUGUAAACUUGCACGGUGAGAAAGGUGGUCCUCUGUGUACAUGAAUCUUCGAUUAUUGUUUUCGUUUCACAAAUAUUCUUAGAAAGUAAUAUCGGUAUCAUUUUUCAUCCUUGUUUCUUGAAUUUAUUCUUUUAAGUUCCAAUACAAAGAUAUAUUGCCCCAAAAAAAAGGUAUAUAAAAGAUGAUGAAAUGUGAAUUACCUUUUUUUUAUCUUUAUUAUAAAGAAUUUGGUGGAUCUUUGAUUCAUAGGUAACGUCUCCAAACUACUUUACAAGUUAUGAAGAUCCUCCAUUUAUACUCCUGAUUUCAGAAUGCUCCCACUUGUAAAGUAGUUUGGAUACCUUCUGUGGAAAGCUUUUUAUGCUAUUGUCUAGGGUCUUUAGGGAGAAAAACAAUAGAAUUUUCAAAGGAGCCGAGAGACCUUUGUGUGAGGUGUGGUGUCUUGUGAGAUAUCAUGCCUUUUUUUUUUUGUGUUUUCGUUUAUAAGGAAAUUAUCUUGUAAAUACCUUACCACCACCACCUUCUUGAUUUAAGAUAUUUGCAUUGGUACAUACAUAUGUAACAGAGAAAAACAAUUGCAAUAAGUGAUCGUGGUUCUUAUUUUAAUUACACUUUUUCUUACUUUUAUAUUUUUAAAGACAAAAGAAAAGAAUAAAUGGAAUUUGUUGUUGCAUACUUGUUUUGUACCUUCUUUAAUUUUUUUUUUCUCCUUUUCAACUGUUGUCUUUAUCUUGAGUACUAAGAUAGAAAUAUGAAAUCGUGCUUCAAUUUAGAAGUACUUGAGCCUGUAUUAAUAGCAAAUUGUGGUGCAGCUGACCGUUGUUUUCAUGGUAAUGGUAAUUUCUAUGCAAGAGUUGUACACCAUUUUCUCAUUAGUAAAUGCUCAUGUUGUUAGAUUGUUAGAUUCUUUGUUAGGAAUUUGGAGUAAGGUAAAUGGCCCUAUUUAUUCUCUUUCUAUUGGGUUAAUGAUUCUUCACAUGAUUGAAUGGGUGACCUCUGGUUUGAUUAAUCUUCAUUCUUUUGAGAAAUUAGAUGUUGUUAGCCAUGCGACUUUAACGUCUUCAUAGGAAAGUUAUGCUUCAUUUUUGUUGUUGUAAUGUCUGCAGCUAGAAUAUUGAGGUCUUUUAAUACUUACAAAGGUUUAUUAAGUAUUUUUAACUACGUUUCUUUGAAACUUACCAACUAGUGUAACUAUGUUUUUUAAGCUUGUGGUCAUAUGUCGAUUUCUUAAUGUCAAUGAUAUUUUGUUGUUAUCCAAGAAGAGAACUCAAACCUUUUAUUUGAUAAUUUUGUUUGGUUUCUAGCAUUUUGUACUACUUUGCUAUUUAGUUAAUGGUUGAGAUUUUUUUAUACGCUAAAGUAAUUGUUUCACCAUGUGCUAACAACUUUUUUCUCAACGACAUUCCUUUAUGAAGUUUCCCUCCGUAAGAUGCAUGAAAAGUCCAAGAGUGAGGUAUUGUUUAGCUUGCCUAGUUUCACUUAUUGAGCAGGUAACAAGUUUUUUUUUUUUUUUAUGCCUUGACGAUUUUGAAUUAUUUUGCAUUGAAAUAAUUUUUUUUUCUAUUAACAUUUAUUUAGUUCAUCGUUGGAGAUGAUGAAUUUUCUUAUUGUCCCAAUCUUUUGGUCUCUUUUAUGUCCAAAAAUGAUCUUUUAUUCUCUUUCGACAUCUGUUUAAACUUACUUUCUAGUUUAUUCCUCUCUGAUGAUUUUCAUUUGUUGUUUGCUCCUUUUUUAUAGACAAGAUAUCUUCAUUUCCGAAACUGACCUGUCGAAUGGGGGUGGUGCCAGGAUCUCCAGUUUUUUAUAUUUGUAUUUGAGAGACAUAAAAUGUGAAUUUAGUAUCAUUUGCUUUUUUGUGAAUUGAUUAAUGAGAUAUUGAUGGUGUUGCAUUUGAGUGCACAAUUUACUAACUUGCUCCUUUGUCCACUAGCUCUUGGGUCAACCCAUAUAUUUUGUGUGUGCCAUUUUCACUGUUUUUUAUUAAUGGCUGAAAUUUCAUACUUUUUGCUUUUAGUGUACUUGUAAAUUGUUUCAAACUUGAUUGAAAAUGUUAUAAUUAAAGUUAUGGUUGUUGUUCUCUUUUGUUGUUUGUCAUUUCACUGUAUCUUAAUUAGCUUUAAAUAGAACACUCUUUAGUCAUACUCUAAAAUGAUAUUUUUUUUUCUUACUAGGUUUGGAAGAAUCCAUUGGAGCAGUGAAGCCAACAAGGAGAAAUGGAUUGAUAUAGGAUUUUUUAUAUGGUUGGUAGAAAAAUAUUGGUUCUAAUGUAUUGAUUUUAGGCUUGUUGGUAGCUAAAGAUGUCAAUGUUAUUUUUUUGUAUGUAAACUACCUUUUAACAAAAAAAAUGGUUAUUAGUCAAUGGGUGUACGAAUAUUACAAAGUGUAUUACAACAUUUAUAUAUAUUAAAGUGUCGACUUUUUGUUUCCUAUAUGGGUGUGAUGUAUUAAAACAUUAUUGUCAUUGAAAUGGUUAAUGUAAUGACAGAGCGGCAAGAAGAACAGAAAAAAAAAUUAGUAAUUAAGGAAUAUACGACAGGAAAAAAUGUCAUAAUAUACGAAUUUGUGACAUUUUCUAAUUGUUGUCAAUAUUAAAACAACGACAAUUUAAUUUUAUAAAAAACUGUCACGAUUGACCUAUCUUUGACAGAGAAAAAUGUCAUAAUAUACGAAUUCAUGACAUUUUGUAACUGUUGUCAAUAGCAAAACAAUUACAUUUGCUUUUAUAAAAAAAAAUUGUCACGAUUGGCAUAUCCUUGCAGAUAAAAAAUGUCAUAAUAAAUGAAUUUACGACAUUUUUUUAAUUGUUGUUAAUAUGCAAAUGAUGACAAUUAUUUAUUGUCAUAAAAUAAAAUAUGACAAUUAUUUGUUGUCAUAAAAUAAUAAUCAAUGAUAUUUAUUUUAUGUCAUGAAAAAACUUAUUGUGACAAUUUUUGAAUACUAUCAUGGAAUGACUUUCCACAACAGGCGAUACUAUGACUGUAAGUAACUGUCACGAAUUUUGUUUGCGACAGAAAAUAACUGUCAUCAUAGACCAUUUUUGUUGUAGUGGAUCGUGUCAUCCUGUUUCUUAUUUAAGGAGUUUGUAUGCCAAUUCGUAUACUCCCAAUUGUCGAGGACUGCAUCUCAAUUCUGAAGAGAAGUCGAGUGCAACAUCAUAGUUUUAAAGAAAUACCAAGGACAACAACUUACUUUUGUGUGGUCCAAGACGAUGAGUGGAAGAGCUGAGCCAAAGAUGAAGAGCCUAGAGCUAUCGUUUUAAGUCUUGUGAUUUUAAAAGUUUAAAUUCCAGUUGUACUUUGUUUAAUGAAUUGAGUUAAUAAAGAGAAGAAGUUGUGUCAUUCUGGUGCAUUAUUAUUUGUGCUUAUCAACUAAUAGUUAAAAGCUAUGUUCCAUUAAGUUAUUGGAGGCUAGACGAUAGUGCUAGCUGGUCUAAAAGUUAUCUUUUCACAGUUGCGAUAAGCUUUGAGUGUUUCUAAAGUUCAAAAUAAAAGUUUUUUGAUGAGACAAGUUUAGGAAGUUGUUCCACUCACUAGAUGUUCGAUAUGUCAUCUUGCGACGAGAUACACGAUGAGUGUCUAGGCCGGACGUCCCCAUCUAGUUUCAUGGAGUGGCAUUUAGGGCGAUGUUGAAGCCAAAGAUUUCUCUAAAAUUCUAACUAGUUUAGAUAUAUUUAAUCUCAUCGUAAUUAUCUUAAGGAAUUCAUUCAUUAACCUAAAAAGUUUAGAAUGUUUCUAUAUUUUUUCUUAGAUAUUUAUUUACAUCUUUUAACGUAAUUAUAGAGAGAUCUAAUAAUUUACAUACUAAUUAUAUAUUAUGGAUACUUGGAUACUGUUCUAGAAUAGUUAGUGUUGCUAUAUAGUGUAGUAUUAUUUACUUUAUUUUUUGAGUUUAAUGACAUUGUUGUCCUUGUUCUUAAUUAUUUUUUAUUUCCAUGGUUUUGGAAAUCAUUUGGAAUCUAGAAGUUGAUUAUUUUUCUGAUGCCUAAUAUAAUAUAUGCUAUUCUAAAAAAUUGUGAUUGCUUUUAUUGUUAAACAUAUACAACUCUAGCAUGCUAGAUUCUUUGGUCAAAAGGAGAACACUUGAAUACUUUGAUCAAAUUGAGAGAACUUCGCUGAGUAAUGGGUCAAGUGGAAUAUAUAAAAUUUGUAUCCCCAAGACAUGUAUUAGUUUAGGGUUUUACAAACAAAAACAACAAACUCUUAACCAAAGUUAACUAAUUUAGUUAGAUUUUAAGCUAUAUAACAAACCACUAACAAUAAUUAACAAACUAACUAACAGAAUAGAUAAUCAAACAAUUUUAUAUAACUAGCUAAACAAAUUUAACAAAUAUAUAUAUAUAUAUAUAUAUCCUCAACAAGAGCUGGACUUGUUCAAAUUAACGAGGGUAUAAAAGGUAUUAUAGAUGCCUUUCAGUCAAUUUUUCCUUUUUCCUUCUGCUCAUAUAAUCCCACCACCCCUCUCUCAAAACACACCAUAGAUUGGAGAAAAUUUAUUCAAUGAGAGGCAUAUGGCUGUUGGUGGUUGUGAUCAAUGAAACUCAGGUGUCCAAGGCAGUGAAAUGCGACCCAGGGGAGUUGAGACCAUGUCAUUUGUCCUUCACAAUGUCGAUGGAGCCAUCGUCGGCUUGUUGCAAGAAGGUGCUGCAGCAUAGGACAUGCUAUUGUGAAUAUAGUAAAAAUCCAAAGACUCAACCUUAUUUAAAAUAUGAUGCCACUCAAAGGAUCAUUUCUGAUUGUGGCGUUGCAAUCCCAACUUGCUAAAAUUUCCCAUAUGUUUUGGCUAACAACUUCAUAUGAAGUGAUUAUAUAUGUAUACACUGGUUUUGAAGAGGCCAUAAUUAAUCGCACAUUCUCUUUCUUAUUUAGUAUGUGUUUCAUCGUUGUUUUUAUUCUUCAAACCUAUUAACUUUAAUACUUAAUAGUUACAGAGUUUUAGUAGGUAAUAAUUAAUUAGGUAAGUUCUAAAUUUUAGUAUUAAUAUCAUUUGCUUAUGGCUCUUAACGUGGUUUCUUUUUCUUAAACGUUUUGGCAUACUUUCUUUAGUUUCUAACCUAUUUGUUCUAAUUUAGCUCGUGUUUCAUUUAAGAACUUUCAACUUUGCCACAUUUUUUUUCAUUUAAAUGUUAUAAAAAGUAUCCUUAGUUACCUUUUGCACCAUUUUUUUAAAAAAAAAACACUCAAUUAUUGACGUUUGCUCAACCAAAGUUAAGAAAUAUAUUCUAGUAAACUGGCUGUGUAGAUGUAGAAUUCAUUCUUAAUGAUUUUAGCAAUAAUUUUGAGAUUAGUUUUGAAUAGUUUUGAAUCAAAUACAUGAUAUGUUGGGAUGUAUGUCAUAAGCCUCAGAGUUUAUUAGUUAUUAGGUAUAAUGAUUGAUUAUUUUAUAAAUGCAAUAAUUAGUUGUCCAUUACAGUAAAAUCAUAACCUAAAGGCUCCACCCUAAGAAAAACUACAUACUAUGAAAGUGGCAAGAAAAGAAAAAAAUUCUCACAAAAGCUAAGCUAAAAAUCGCUUUUUAAGACGGAAUUUUUCGGAUUUCACUUUUUCACUUAUAUGGUGUCAUAAAAGAUACAAAAAAAAUAAUUUAUUUAAUUUAUUAAAAUAAAAUUUAUUUUAAAUCAAAAGUUUAUUAAAAUCAUAUUUUUUCCUAAAAUAAAAUAUCUCCAAACCCUUUCUCUACCUCUUCUUCUCUUCUUCUUUGUUUCUUCUUCUUUGUAGAAGAUCCACACGUCGCCCCUCCUUCUCUCUUACGCACGCCGAGAACGACAAGACUUUUUGUCAACGACACGCCUGAAAUCCUCUCUUUCUCUUGCUGAACUCACGGGUGAAUCUCAGCCAUUAGGGUGAAUCUCAACCAUUAUUUCUAUUGUUUGUAUUUAUAAUGGUUCUUUUUAUGGAAAACAUCCCUCAUAGUUUUGCUUUUAUAGGAGAUAUGUGUUUGUUUUGUCUUUCAUCCUAUUUAAUAUUGUUGUUUACGAUCAUUUUUCUAAUUUGAAUCUACAUUUUUUCUUUAUGGUUGACUAUGUGAUGAAGCAUUUUGGUAGCUUACAAUGUGUUUGAUGAAAUGCCUCAAUAAAGCAUUUGAAUUAGAAAAUCAAGGCUAAGGAAGAUUUCAUGACUAUGGGCUGAAGCUUUGAAAAAAAGAAAAUGAAAAAUGAAAUGUGAGAUUUUAAAUUUUGAUGUGUGUAGGGUCUUUUUGUUUGUCUAUGCAUUUCCGUACUUUUGAUUUUUCUAUUGAUCUUUUGUUUAUGGUUGUUAUCGAGGUAUAUCAUAAUUGCAUGAUAUUUAUGAGGUAAGACAUUUGUUAUUAAACCUAAAUGUAUCACCCUAAUUUUGAAAUUCAUAACAAAGUUGCCCCGAUCCCUAGUAUCAUGAACAAAUAAUUAAAAAUUAAAUUGCUAAAAGAUUAAUAUAUAGCAUUUGUUCGGAUUUUUGUAAAAUGAAAAAAUAAUCUUAAUAAGAAACUCUUCUAAAAUAGAUAUAGGUUCAGUACUUUCAAAUGCUACUAAUAAAAUUGUAUUUUUUACAUGACACGUGUUUAAUACUAAUAUAUAUGUGUACUUAAUUAAUUCUAACUCCACCAAAAACAACCUUUUCCUUUUAAAAUCACAAGUAAACUUUAAUCCUCAAUUCUUUUUAAUUAACCCAUUUUUUCUAAUAAAUUAGUUAUUUUAAAAUUUCAUAAAUUCCAACAUCAAUUAUCUUAACCCAAUAAUUCAAUUCAUGUUCCAAUCUUUAGAUAGCACCCAAGCAAUUUAAGAUAAUUAGUAAAAUAUUUCCUUAAAGGUUUGGGAUGCUACAUUUCUUUUUCCAAUAACUAUAUUCCAAUAUGUAAUUAUCAAUUUUUCUUUAAAUAAAUCAUAUUCAUUAUCUUUUCUGAUUUACCGAAUAAGGAUGUUUUAUUAAAAUAAGUUUGUUUAGAAAAUUUAUUUGAAAAACAUUACUGUUUUGAAACCAUUUAGAAAAAUAGUAAACUUUUAAAAAUAAAAAUUACAAAAAACAAAG
rnacentral:lncRNA from 1 species